rnacentral:rRNA from 1 species
UACGGAGGGUGCGAGCGUUGUCCGGAAUCACUGGGCGUAAAGGGCGCGUAGGUGGCUACUCAAGCCGCGCGGUGAAAGCCCGGGGCUCAACCCCGGGUCGGCCGUGCGGACUGGGAGGCUCGAGCACUGUAGGGGCGGGUGGAAUUCCGGGUGUAGCGGUGGAAUGCGCAGAUAUCAGGAGGAACACCAAUGGCGAAGGCAGCUCUCUGGUACGUGACUGACGCUGAGACGCGAAAGCGUGGGGAGCGAACAGG